GACACAAGUGCUUGGCGUGCUCUGGUCCAUGGGGUCACGAUGAGUCAGACACAACUAAACGACUAAACAACAACAAAUACAUGCAUAGGAUUGCCCUUUAAGUUAGUUUUCGGAAACCUUUCUCCAAGUGAAGCAGAUGGAAAAAGAACCUCUGUGGUGGCAUCCCAGCUUUGGAAUUUCCUCCCCAGGCCAGGACGUUCACCUGGUACCUUCACAAUUAUAAUUUAGAUGCCAGGCUAAGUCACCUGUUUCCACAUCUUUGGAACUCUCCAGGGAAACACAAAUGUAUGGCUUUGACACUUCUGUAUUUUUUAAUGAAAACUCUGGAGGCCCUUUUAUUCCCAUCUGUACUUAGAAUAUGUGCUGUGCAAGUAUGAUUUUCAAAUGCUGCUGGGUUUUAAUUCAACUCUUACGUUGUAAUCAUUACAUUUUUAGGUGCUUUAAAAUGGUUUGCAAACUGCCUUGUGAGGGCAGUAUGAAAGUCAGGUUAGAAAUCCUUUACAGAGACACACACACAAAUGGCUCUGCAGGAUACAUCAAUCUUAUUGUGUGCAGAAUUGUAUUUGUGUAGCAUGGAAAGUCCAGAGAGGGUUGAAAAAUGAGAGUGGGCCUUUUCAGUGCUGGCCCCCUGUUUGUGGAAUGUUUUCCCUGGGGAGGGCACCAUCUUUAUUUAUCUUCAGCACCAGGCAAAAUCUUUCCUUUUUACCUUUACCCCUUUUCCCCUUAUUUUAUGGCUUUCAAGUAGUCAUGGCCUCUUUUAGUGGGGUAGGAUCUGUAAGCAGUAACUUUUUUUUACAGAUCAAUAUUGCCAUUCCUGCAGUUUGGGAGAAAAGGAUACAUGAAACAAAUGUUUCAUGCCCGGCCUCUUCCUCAAGCCUCUGAGCCUCAUUGCUAGAGAAAGCAAUGGAAACUGGCUGACAUAAGCAAGUUUAUGGCUUGUACGUAUCUAUGUAAAUAUGUUGGUUUGGUGUCAACAUAUUCACUUGGCAACAGAAGAAACGUGUUUGAGUCGAUCUCGCUUCUACUUUUACAGGCCUCUGUUAAAAACGUUAGUACCUGAAACUGCGUUCUGGUCAAUAUACAGUAUUCCCUUCCUCGUUCUUUUUCACCCUUCCCUGUUGUUCUUGAUCAACCAUGAAGGGGGAUGUGGAAGGCUGGAAUGUUGAAGGUGUAUUUUUUUUUUUUUUUUUAAUGCUCAUCUUUACUUGUCUAAUGUUGUAAUUGCCUUCACAGCCUUCUUAUGCUCAGAAACUGCAGAUGUUAAGAAGGGCAGCCUCUUAAUUAUAAUUGACUUUUAAUUAAGAGGCUAGGCUUGCAUCUCUGCUUUCUGGGCCCUGGAAAGCUAUGAAAGGCAUCAACGUAAUUUUUAGCCAAGUUUCAACACAUGUAAGUGCUGCUAAUUGCAAACUACGUUUUUUACAGGAGGAGGGGGAUUUUUUAUUUUUAGCUUAUUUGCGUUUUUAUUCUUCGGAAAUAAUCUGAUAGGUUGAUAUGGAGCGAUUUAUAGUUUCCAAGCUUUCAUAUUUCCGUAGCAUUAAACUCCUAUCUUAAACUAAUGGCAAGCGUAGAAUUCUUCAGUCACCAGAGGAAGCAAUAUAGACUCAACAACUUCCUUUCCAGCUGUUAAGUGAAGCAUUGUCUCAGUGCCUUAUCAGACGAAAAGGCACACACACGCACACAAAUCCCACCAAAGACAACGUAAUGUCCAUAUUCCACAACUCUGAAAGUCUUUAUGGUUUAGUAGUAGGUAAUAUUGUUUCCCCACAAAAUGUGCCCAGACCUCUCCCAUUAUUUCAGCUCAGUGGUUUUCCCUUGGUGAUGCUGAAAGCUGUAAUUUAUCAAACCACAACAUUAUUAUUAUUAUUUUCCCUUUUUUGUAUUUGACUUUUACUUGUGAUAUUUUAGGGCACUGUAAAUCACUUAUGGAUUAUCUUUGAAAUAUGGAGCUGUAUGUACAUUACCUAAACAUAAAUAAACAAGUACAAAAUAAAGAAACGAUGAGUGGUUUUCCUCCUUGUAGCAUCCUAUCCCAGCACUAUGAUGGGGAAGAAAGCCGUUCCAAACUCCUGUGUCUCUUCUUAACUUUGAAAAGUACCUUCUGAUGUGGUUUCAUUUUUACAAACUCUUAAGAGGAAACAGGAAGGGACAUUUCCGCCCCCCCUGGAAAAGGUUGGUGGGUCACUAAAAACAGCUUUGCAGGCCAGGUCUGGCUAAUGGGCUGUCAGUUCGCCACCUUUUCUGUAAGCCAUCUAGAUUCUUUAUGGAAAGGAUAGGGAACCUGUGGCCCUCCAGAUGUUUGGACUCCAACACCUGCCCCUGCCAGUGUAGCCAGUGUUGCAGGGUAAGUGGCAAUCUCACAAUGUGAAUGAGAAGUCAAGGAACAGGUUUACCAGGGACACUUUGAAAUUCCUGCAUGAAGCAGGAUCUGGAUGGUCUACAAGGCCCUCUCCAACGAUAUGAUCCCACUUUCACUGCCACUUUACAUGGUGAGAAUACCAAAGCCUAGGCACGUGUCUCUACACCUUCCACAGGGAGUUGAAUCAUGCCUACUUCCUUUCUAUUUUAAUGAAGAAAGUGGUGGGAAUAAUGCUAAUAAAGUAGCUUGUGCUACAUUUCAGUCCAUAAAAAUGAGAUUACCCAUUUGAGAAUUGUCAGCAUGCAAACCAUAAUUUUAAUGAAAUGACUGGCUUCCUUUUUUAAAAUCAUUUACGUAAAAAAAAUAUCAAAUCAUCAUCAUCAUCCCACCCUCUGAUUUGUAUUUGAGCACUCAUAACAAUUAAUUGGUGGAUAAUUUAACAACUUGACCUAACUUUUGAGCUGUAGCCUUCACAUUAUGAGGCAUAAUAACUUUUUUU